rnacentral:rRNA from 1 species
GACGAACGCUGGCGGCGUGCUUAACACAUGCAAGUCGAACGGUGACGAGGAGCUUGCUCCUCUGAUCAGUGGCGAACGGGUGAGUAACACGUGAGCAACCUGCCCCAGACUCUGGGAUAACAGUUGGAAACAGCUGCUAAUACCGGAUACGAGACGGAGAGGCAUCUCUACCGUCUGGAAAGUUUUUCGGUCUGGGAUGGACUCGCGGCCUAUCAGCUAGUUGGUGAGGUAAUGGCUCACCAAGGCGACGACGGGUAGCCGGCCUGAGAGGGCGACCGGCCACACUGGGACUGAGACACGGCCCAGACUCCUACGGGAGGCAGCAGUGGGGAAUAUUGCACAAUGGGCGAAAGCCUGAUGCAGCGACGCCGCGUGAGGGAUGAAGGCCUCGGGUUGUAAACGUCUUCUAGCAGGAGAAGCGAAAGUGACGGUACCUGCAGAAGAAGCACCGGCUAACUACGUGCCAGCAGCCGCGGUAA